UUUAAGGGUUGGUAGUGGAGUUGAGAGCAUCUUCUUUGGGGGUCUCUGUGUAGCUUGAGGACUUCAUGGGUGUUCUGAAGAGGGAAAGAUGAAACUGCUCACAAGUUGCAAGAUGUCCCCUUUUACUGCUUGUCUCUGCAUGCUCUCCAGCCAUCUCACCUUCAGCAUUUGGGUUCCACAUGCCUUGUUCUUAAGGAGUGGCUCACUAUGGCCUAAAAAGCAAUGGAAAUCUUCCCGACUGGGGAAAAGUGUGUGGAAGUGGAUCAAAGGCCCAGAUGAGCCUCUGUGACUGAAAUCUUCUGGAAUGAAGGACCAGAGGAGACUUCUGUUCAAUGCACACAGCAAGUGAUUCUCAGGGAGUUCCCCCUUACCCCGGCUCCAUUGGGACCAGCCACAACUUCCUUAGAGUAUGUUACUGUAGUACUGAAUGAAUUGAAAUGGAAGUUAUGGGUUAUCUCCAAGCAGGAUCAUGAAGUACCAAGUGGUGGAACAUGAG